ACAUGUCUCUGUACCCAGUGUUAGGGUUGUGGGCACUCAUGCCUAUAUCCAGCUUUUUGUGUGCGUGCUGGAAGGUUCAGUGCAGGGCUUGAUGCCCUCAGAGGAGUCACUCUUAACUACUGAGUCAUCUCCCUAGCCUUUCAUUCUUCAUGGUUGCAAAGAUUCUACACCUUAUCUUCUCUGUUUAUAUAUAGGCAGGUUUCCCAGCUUGCUGUUCACAAAGGAGGAUGGGUGUGCAUUUUCCCAGUGAUUUGUUGACUUGGAGUUUGGGGUAAUACAUGGGAGUGGUAUAGCUGGGUCAUUUAGUAGGUCUUUUGAGUUUGUGGGGGAAUCUCCACAUUAAAUUUCACAGUAGACUUACUUAUAUUCGAAUAGUGGAUAAGGACUCCUUUCUGUCCACAUCCUCACCAUCAUUUUGUUCUGGUUUUGUUUUGUUUUUUUGAAGCCAGAACAUUUAUUUUAUGAUUGAUUGGAAUCCUCAAGAUGAACUGGGUGCUGCAACAGCUUUCCUCUUGGGUUUAGGUGUUGUUCCUUCAUGGAGUCCGUAUCUGAAUCUGCAAUAGACAAUUUUUAGGUACCUCAUCUGCCCAGCACUGGUAGCGUUCCAUCUCUUAGCCUUGGCACUCCAGUUAUACUUUCUCUUCUGCUUGGCAGGGGAGCCACAUUUGCAAUGGGUUGGCUUCUGAAGGUGGUAGGCCUUAGAGCCACACCAGUGGCACUGUGUGUGUGUGUGUGUGUGUGUGUGUUAUUGUGAUGCUUUCCAAAGGAUGGCGUUCCCUUCUCCAUCUUGCUUCCACUACUGAGGCCAGAGAACAUUAUUUGUUUUUUUUUUUUUUUUUUUUUUAAUGGCUCUAAAAGAUAUUAAGAAACAUCUAACAGCAAGAAACUGGCCGGGGAGAAAAUGAGUUCUGGAAGUCCAGGCCUCCCUCUUUGGGACAGGGCAUAAACAGGGCACUCCCAGGGCUGUGCCACAUUCCUAAUCACUCCGCCUGUUCACCAGCAACCUUUGUGCUCUUCCUGUUUGCAAAAUGGACACAGAUGAAGAAGUUUUGGAAAACACGAGAAAUCACAAAGAAAAUAAAGUUGUUCCUGUUAGUUUCUAUGUAUGUUUAUACAUCCUCCAUGCAGAAAUGAUAGAACGGGCAAACUCUUAUAACAGCUUCACCUUGUAAAGAUUUUUCUAUCUCAAAUAUUUUUUAAAUGUAUCUUACAUUAUUUAUUUAUACAAAUAAAGAUUAUAUGC
rnacentral:lncRNA from 1 species